CAACUCGUUCUGAAAAUUUGUCACUGAGCCAACAGACCUGCAGUUUGCUCACCAACCUUGGAGAUACAGAGCUGGUUGCCUUCCUCCGUUUUCCCUCCACCUCUCCAUCUCCAGAUCCUGCCUCCUCCGGCAAAGACCUUGGAGGAUCCUUUGUCAGACCAGAUUCCAUGUCUACUCCCUGGCGGCUCCUGGCUGGGAUUCUGGGGGUCCUGGCCCUGGCCCUCAUGGCAUCCGUGCUAGCACUGGGGGUCCUCAUGGGAAAUUACUCUUCUGACCCAGGACCUGAGAGCCCUUUUACAGUUCCCAACACCACAUCUCUAACGGGUAGGUUUUACUAAUUUUUCUCUUCUCAUUUUUAACCUGGAGGAGAGCAAGUUUCCAAAUUCAGUGUACAUUUCGGAUCUUCGGCCAGAUCUGCCAGAGAAAUUGUGUAAAGCAAACCAAUCACCUGGAGAAGACUAUAUUAGCCUCACAUUCUGAAACGACAAAUGCACUAGUAAACACCAAAUGAACCUGACAAACCACGUGUCUCUACCUUUUCUGGU